rnacentral:rRNA from 1 species
GAUGAACGCUGACAGAAUGCUUAACACAUGCAAGUCUACUUGAACUUCGGUUUGGGUGGCGGACGGGUGAGUAAUGCGUAAAGAACUUGCCUCACAGAUAGGGACAACAUUUGGAAACGAAUGCUAAUACCUGAUAUUAUGAUUUUAGGGCAUCCUAGAAUUAUGAAAGCUAUAUGCACUGUGAGAGAGCUUUGCGUCCCAUUAGCUAGUUGGAGAGGUAACGGCUCACCAAGGCGAUGAUGGGUAGCCGGCCUGAGAGGGUGAUCGGCCACAAGGGGACUGAGACACGGCGCUUACUCCUACGGGAGGCAGCAGUGGGGAAUAUUGGACAAUGGACCAAGAGUCUGAUCCAGCAAUUCUGUGUGCACGAUGAAGUUUUUCGGAAUGUAAAGUGCUUUCAGUUGGGAAGAAAAAAAUGACGGUACCAACAGAAGAAGUGACGGCUAAAUACGUG